rnacentral:lncRNA from 1 species
CAAAGUCAAUGAAGAGCUCACUAUUUUCGAGCUCGUCCGCUGGCGCAUUUCAGGCACCGAGAUCGGACAUCAGGUCUGCUUCGGAUCUUAACGCGAAACCUAAGAUUGGGAUCCUGUUUAACUUUCACACUGCAGUUCGCUAGGGUAUCUUUUAGGUAGAAGGUGGUCAUGAGUUUUGAUGCCUUUUGGCCUUGUAGAUCUUUUUAGGCUUUAACUUGGGCGCUCGAACUAAGGUCGAGGGGCCCUCAAUUUUUUUUUGAGGUCGAGGGAGCUUCUUCAGCUCAUUGUCGACGCAGCAGGGUGCCCCGAGCUCGGGCCGGGGCGUCGUUGAAUGUUCCUGCGGUUGAGGGAGCCUCUUCGGCUCGUAGUCGACACUGCAGGGCGCCCCGAGCUUGGGCCGGGGCGUCAUUGCAUGUUCCUACGGUCGAGGGAGCAUUGCAUCCUUGAUGGCUUCCGCAGAUUCCUUCG